rnacentral:rRNA from 1 species
UACGUAGGGUGCAAGCGUUGUCCGGAAUUACUGGGCGUAAAGCGCACGUAGGCGGCUUUCUAAGUCGGGGGUGAAUCCUGGAGCUCAACUCCAGAACUGCCUUCGAUACUGGAGAGCUCGAGUCCGGGAGAGGUGAGUGGAACUGCGAGUGUAGAGGUGAAAUUCGUAGAUAUUAGGAAGAACACCGGUGGCGAAGGCGGCCCACUGGCUCGAUACUGACGCUGAGGUGCGAAAGCGUGGGGAGCAAACAGG